UCCGGUAGCGUUAAGCUAGCUCUCUGCAACUCUCACAUGGUCGCCCACUGAAGCUAAGCAGGGCUGCGCCCGGUCAGUACCUGGAAGGGAGACCACAUGGGAAAGCUAGGUUGCUGCCGGAA
rfam:Danio rerio chromosome 8, GRCz11 reference primary assembly.